GAUGAACGCUGGCGGCGUGCCUAAUACAUGCAAGUCGUACGGAAAGGCCUUUCGGGGUACUCGAGUGGCGGACGGCUGAGUAACGCGUGGGAACGUGCCCCAAAGUGAGGGAUAACGCACCGAAAGGUGUGCUAAUACCGCAUAUGGUCUUCGGAUUAAAGCUUCGGCGCUUUGGGAGCGGCCCGCGUACGAUUAGAUAGUUGGUGAGGUAAUGGCUCACCAAGUCGACGAUCGUUAGCUGGUCUGAGAGGAUGAUCAGCCAGACUGGGACUGGGACACGGCCCAGACUCCUACGGGAGGCAGCAGUAAGGAAUCUUCCACAAUGGGGGCAACCCUGAUGGAGCAACGCCGCGUGCAGGAUGAAGGUUUUCGGAUCGUAAACUGCUUUUAUAAGUGAAGAAUAUGACGGUAACUUAUGGAUAAGGAUCGGCUAACUACGUGCCAGCCGCCGCAGUAA
rnacentral:rRNA from 1 species